rnacentral:rRNA from 1 species
UACGUAGGGGGCAAGCGUUGUCCGGAAUUAUUGGGCGUAAAGGGCUCGUAGGCGGUUUCUUAAGUCUGAUGUGAAAGCCCACAGCUCAACUGUGGAGGGUCAUUGGAAACUGGGGAACUUGAGUGCAGAAGAGGAGAGUGGAAUUCCAAGUGUAGCGGUGAAAUGCGUAGAGAUUUGGAGGAACACCAGUGGCGAAGGCGACUAUCUGGUCUGUAACUGACACUGAGGCGCGAAAGCGUGGGGAGCAAACAGG